rnacentral:rRNA from 1 species
UUGGAGGGGAGUCUGGUGCCAGCAGCCGCGGUAAUUCCAGCUCCAAUAGCGUAUAUUAAAGUUGUUGCAGUUAAAAAGCUCGUAGUUGAAUUUCGGGGUUCUACCGUUGGUCGGGCUUUGUCUGUACUGGUGUGUAGAAUUUCUACCUUCUGGGGAACCAUCAUGCUAUUAAUUUAGCGUGGUGGGAAACCAGGACCUUUACCUUGAAAAAAUUAGUGUGUUCAAAGCAGGCUUAUGUCUGAAUACAUUAGCGUGGAAUAAUAGAAUAGGACGGUGGUCCUGUUUUGUUGGUUUCUGAAUCACCGUAAUGAUUAAUAGGGAUAGUUGGGGGCAUUAGUAUUCAAUUGUCAGAGGUGAAAUUCUUGGAUUUAUUGAAGACUAACUUCUGCGAAAGCAUUUGCCAAGGAUGUUUUCAUUAAUCAAGAACGAAAGUUAGGGGAUCGAAGACGAUCAGAUACCGUCGUAGUCUUAACCAUAAACUAUGCCGACUAGGGAUCGGACGAUGUUAAUUUUUCUUGACUCGUUCGGCGCCUUACGGGAAAC